GCCAGCAUGGCAUUGUGGUUUGAGCGUUAAACUACAACUCCAGAGAUCAGGGUUCAAAUCCCAGCUCGGCCA